UACGUAGGGGCAAGCGUUGUCCGGAAUCAUUGGGCGUAAAGCGCGUGUAGGCGGCUUGGUAAGUCUGCUCUGAAAGCCCGGGGCUCAACCCUGGGAGGCGGGUGGAUACUGCCGAGCUCGAGUCCGGAAGAGGCGAGUGGAAUCCUGGUGUAGCGGUGAAAUGCGCAGAUAUCAGAGGAACACCAAUGGCGAAAGCGGCUCUCUGGGACGGUACUGACGCUGAGACGCGAAAGCGUGGGGAGCAAACAGG
rnacentral:rRNA from 1 species